GCACCCGUAGCUCAGCUGGAUAGAGCGCUGCCCUCCGAAGGCAGAGGUCGUGAGUUCGAAUCUCGCCGGGUGCACCA
rnacentral:tRNA from 7 species